UGUUUCCGAACGAAAAUCGUAGAGUUAACUCAGUAUUUUCAAACGACGCGCAGUUGACUAGAGUUAACUCGAGUUUAUUAUAGAAAAAUGUAAUGAAGAGAAUAUAAAAACAAAGAUUAAAAAAUAUUUUGUGGUUUGCUAUAAAGGAAAAUAAGUUGAACUGGAGGUGUGUCCUUUGCAUAAAUAGAACGUCCAAAAUCAGCCAUUCGACUUGAGCUAUAAC